GCCGAAGCUAACGCAUUAAGCACCCCGCCUGGGGAGUACGGCCGCAAGGCUAAAACUCAAAGGAAUUGACGGGGGCCCGCACAAGCAGCGGAGCAUGUGGUUUAAUUCGACGCAACCCGAAGAACCUUACCAGGGCUUGACAGACUAGUGAAAUUCCGAGGAAACUCGGAACUACCCACAAGGACACUAGUUCAGGUGCUGCAUGGUUGUCGUCAGCUCGUGUCGUGAGACGUCCGCUUAAGUGCGGUAACGAGCGCAACCCUUAUCGUCAGUUACAAGUGUCUGACGAGACUGCCCUGGCUUUGCCAGGGAGGAAGGAGAGGACGACGUCAAGUCAGCACGUCCCUUACAUCUAGGGCUACACACAUCCUACAAUGGAGCCGACAACAGGUUUUGCAAUACCGCAAGGUGGAGCCAAUCCUUAAACGGCCCCUCAGUUCAGAUUGAGGGCUGCAACCCGCCCUCAUGAAGUUGGAAUCGGUAGUAAUCGCAAAUCAGCAGGUUGCGGUGAAUACGUUCUCGCUCCUUGUACACACUGCCCGUCAAGCCAGCAAAGUCAGCAGCACCCGAAGCGGGUGACCUAAACUCGCAAGAGAUAGGCCCUUCUACGGUGAGGUUGGCGAUGAGGACUAAGUCGUAACAAGGUAUCUGUACUGGAAGGUGCAGAUGGAUCACCUCCUUUCUAAGGAG
rnacentral:rRNA from 1 species